CACACUCCCCAUCAUGAAUAUCAUUUUUUCAAGGCCAAAGUUUCACUAUUUCAUGCACCUGCAGUUCAAACUUAAAAAAUGCGGAAAAAUUGUAGUGAGCGAAAAGAACUAAGAAAAUAUAGCUAAAUAACUCAAAACAGCCCCAAAUUUUGAAUUUGAGAUUUAAUUGUGUUACCUAGGGCCCAGAAAAAAAAUAGAUUAUUGAGUGGAAAAAUCAAUUUAAAGAAAUUAAUUAAUGAAAUAUAGAAAAAAAGUCAAAAAAUCACUAAACUUUUUGAGGUGUCAUGUUAUCACAUGUGGACCCUAUAGAAAAAAUUUGAGAAAUUUUGGAGCAGUUACAGUAUCAGAUGGACAAAAACCAGACAUUUCUAAUAUGAGAAAAAAGUGCUUUGCCGACUGCCAUGGAUCGAGGCAGUCGGCAAAGGAUUUUCGUAAUUAAAAUAUUUCGAGCCUUUGCCGACUGCCUUGCCAAGUGGCAGUCGGCAAAGGACUUAACCCUAAAAGGCCCCAUCCCACCGUGACUUGUAAAAAAAAAACAAACGCGCCUCAUCCUGUCCGCACCCGCAGGCCAAGCUCCCC
rnacentral:lncRNA from 1 species